UUAAGGGUCAGCCCCCCAUUUAUGGGGCAGCCCCCCACUUAUGGGGAAGACCCACACUUAGGGUCAGCCCCACACUUAUGGGUCAGCCCCCCACUUAGGGGUCAGCCCCCCACUUACGGGGCAGAGCCACGCUUAUGGGGCAGAGCCACACUUAUGGGAUUCCAUCCCACACUUAUGGGGCAGCCCCCCACUUAUGGGGCAGCCCCCCACUUAUGGGGCAGCCCCCUGUUUACUGCCGCCCCUUUUCUCUGCCCCACAGAUUCGGACGAGGCGGAGGCACCUCAGGAUUCGGUGCUGCAGGAACUGCGGGAGCGGCGGCGGAAGCUGCGGGCAGUGCUGAGGUUUUUGGACGCCGUGGCGCCGCUUCCGCCCCCCCGGAUCCUUUGGGACCCGCAGUAAAAAAUUCCGCCCCUUUUUUUUCCUCCUUUCGCCGUUUUUCAACCCAAAAAACGACGCCAAGAUGGCGGACGGCCGUUUAACACUACGAUUCCCAGCGGUCUUUGCGCGGGCGGGCGGUGGGGUGCAAUUCCGGUUUAAGCCACGCCCAGAAUCCGGCGGAUCGAACGUACUUCCGGUGCGAGCCACGCCCACAAAGCAGCUGCCCGAUCGGACUUCCGGUGCGAGCCACGCCUCCAAUCUGCACAACGCUACUUCCGGUCGAUGCCACGCCCACACGUCCGCUUGUUAAUCGCACUUCCGGCGUACGCCACGCCCCCUCAGCCCAACAGGAAACCACGCUUCCGGUUUCAGUCUCUCCCCCACGGCGCCCCGUUCGAUUCCACUUCCGGUUUCAGCCACGCCCCCCCAAAGGACUGCAGUCCAAAUGAACUCCGGGUUCAGCCCCGCCCCCCCGAGUGAUGUUCAAUUCAUACUUCCGGUUUAAGCCACGCCCUCUGUUCUGUUUUUCAUUACAACUUCCGGUUCAAGUCACGACACCCCCCCCCCUCGCCGCACUGCGUCCAGCCGCACUUCCGGUUAAGGUCACACCGUUUCCGUACCCAAGCUGUUUCCGGUUAAAGCCCCGCUCCUCCACAGAGCUCCAAUGCCACUUCCGCUAUAAGCCACGCCCCCACCCGUAUGGACCAGUAACUUCCGGUCCAGGUUCCGCCCCCUAGCCUAUAGUAGCUCACUUCCGGUUCAUGCUCCACCCCAGCCCUCUCGGCACUACACUUCCGGUCUAGGCUCCGCCCUGGACCCUUCGGAGACAUAACUUCCGGCCCCAGCCCUUCUUACAGCCCACUUCCGGCCCAGGCUCCGUCCCCAACCCUACUUUCAGCUCACUUCCGGCCCAGGCUCCCCCCCCACAACCCUCCUUACCGCUCACUUCCGGCCCAGGUUCCGCCCC
rnacentral:lncRNA from 1 species